rnacentral:rRNA from 1 species
CAGUAGCCGCGGUAAUACGGAGGGUGCAAGCGUUAAUCGGAAUUACUGGGCGUAAAGCGCACGCAGGCGGUCUGUCAAGUCAGAUGUGAAAUCCCCGGGCUUAACCUGGGAACUGCAUUUGAAACUGGCAGGCUAGAGUCUUGUAGAGGGGGGUAGAAUUCCAGGUGUAGCGGUGAAAUGCGUAGAGAUCUGGAGGAAUACCGGUGGCGAAGGCGGCCCCCUAGACAAAGACUGACGCUCAGGUGCGAAAGCGUGGGGAGCAAACAGGAUUAGAUACCCCUGUAGUCCCUGUCUCUUAUAC